rnacentral:rRNA from 1 species
ACGUUAUUCGGAAUCACUGGGCUUAAAGCGCGUGUAGGCGGGAGGGAACGUCGGCCGCUGAAAUCCCCCGGCUUAACCGGGGAAGGGGCGCCGAUACGGCCUCCCUGGAGGGACGCAGGGGGAGCUGGAACUUCCGGUGGAGCGGUGAAAUGCGUUGAGAUCGGAAGGAACGCCCGCGGCGAAGGCGAGCUCCUGGACGUCUGCUGACGCUGAGACGCGAAAGCGU